rnacentral:rRNA from 1 species
UACGUAGGGUGCAAGCGUUGUCCGGAAUUAUUGGGCGUAAAGAGCUCGUAGGCGGUUUGUUGCGUCGGCUGUGAAAACCUGAGGCUCAACCUCGGGCUUGCAGUGGGUACGGGCAGACUAGAGUGCGGUAGGGGAGACUGGAAUUCCUGGUGUAGCGGUGGAAUGCGCAGAUAUCAGGAGGAACACCGAUGGCGAAGGCAGGUCUCUGGGCCGCAACUGACGCUGAGGAGCGAAAGCAUGGGGAGCAAACGGG